rnacentral:lncRNA from 1 species
UGUUUGUAAAGCCUCUACUGACAAGCGGAAAAAUAAAAUUAUUCUAGGCCGUUUAACUGUAGGAUUACCUAAAACAAUUACUUCACUAAGUUUUAAUUAUUAUUUGUUGACUAAAGUAUACACUUAUUAACUCCGUUAAUGUUUAGCCUUAAAAUUACUUUUACUGAACAUUGUAAUAUCUUAAGGUAUUAUUUUGUAUUUCAUGUAUACUUUUUAAUGUAUACUUUAAGGUGUUUAUAAUAUACCAUAAAAAUUUCUAUAAACUAUAUUUUAACAUUAGACUUAUGUGUUCAGGUACAGAAGUAACCUGAUGAAAAUAAUGAUAGUGACUCACAAGAUUUUAAUGAACAUCAAAAAAGUCUUGUCUGCAGACACCUGUCUCUGUAUUAAACAAAAGUAAAACGAGAUUGGAAAAAGUGAUCAUAAUUACCUCUGUGAUUAAGGUGAAGGGAGUAGCAGCAAAAAGGGAAGUAGUAAAAAAAUUGAAUUGGACAGGGCAAGGUGAUCUUCAAAAAAAGUCUUUCCGAGUUCUUAAAUUUUGUCAAGUUAUUGAAAAAGCAAUACAAAGAAAUUUGCUGACAAAAGAUACCACAUACAGCGAAAUUCAAAAGGCAGAUGUGGCUUUUUUUUCUGGAACUCUAGAUAAAAAUAGAGGCAGAAAAGAAGGAGCAGAAAAAAAGUCCAUCCAAAAAACCAGUUCAACAAAAAAUCGUGGCUAUACUGCCCAAUCAUUGACAUUGAAACCUUUAUCUGGAUUAUCAUUACCACGAUUUGAACGCUUUGUUUUUGAUGAAUCUGACAAAGUAUAAUGUUCUCAAAAUCUUGCAUGAUCUGUUUUAUAUGUUAUGUUUUAUAUUAAUUGUAUAUUUGACAUUAUUAUAAGCUUUACAAGUAUUUAUAUA